rnacentral:rRNA from 1 species
CCUACGGGUGGCAGCAGUGGGGAAUAUUGGACAAUGGGGGGAACCCUGAUCCAGCCAUGCCGCGUGUGUGAAGAAGGCCCUCGGGUUGUAAAGCACUUUCAGUGAGGAAGAACGCCUGGUGGUUAAUACCCAUCAGGAAAGACAUCACUCACAGAAGAAGCACCGGCUAACUCCGUGCCAGCAGCCGCGGUAAUACGGAGGGUGCGAGCGUUAAUCGGAAUUACUGGGCGUAAAGCGCGCGUAGGUGGCUUGAUAAGCCGGUUGUGAAAGCCCCGGGCUCAACCUGGGAACGGCAUCCGGAACUGUCAAGCUAGAGGGCAGGAGAGGAAGGUAGAAUUCCCGGUGUAGCGGUGAAAUGCGUAGAGAUCGGGAGGAAUACCAGUGGCGAAGGCGGCCUUCUGGACUGACACUGACACUGAGGUGCGAAAGCGUGGGUAGCAAACAGGAUUAGAUACCCGAGUAGUC